CCCUGCCCUUUGUACACACCGCCCGUCGCUACUACCGAUUGGAAGUUUUAGUGAGGCAUUUGGACCUGCCAACCAUUGGGGCAGCAAUGCUCUUAGGUAGGCGGGGAAGUCUGUCGAACUCAAAUUUC
rnacentral:rRNA from 1 species